rnacentral:rRNA from 1 species
GACGAACCGUGCAAACGUUGUUCGGAAUCACUGGGCUUAAAGGGCGCGUAGGCGGACGCACAAGUCAGGGGUGAAAGCCCACGGCUCAACCGUGGAAGUGCCUUUGAUACUGUGUGUCUGGAGGGAGGUAGGGGCGUGCGGAAUUUCCGGUGGAGCGGUGAAAUGCGUAGAUAUCGGAAGGAACACCGGUGGCGAAAGCGGCGCGCUGGACCUCUACUGACGCUGAGGCGCGAAAGCCAGGGGAGCAAACGGG